GGGACGCGCGCCGGAGGCCUGCAGCAGCGCGGACCCGACCCAGGAGGAGCAAUGGAUAUAUAAUCCAGCCAAAUGAUCUCUAGGAACAUCACAUUUACCUUUACUGCUGAAGAAAGGUCCUACGGAGGACCUGAAACGCGUCCAGCUUUAACCACUUAUUCUAAGUGCCACAUCAUCUAUAUCAAAGAAUACAGCUUUUUCAAAGGAUUCACCAUAUCUGUCAAUCAACCUCUGACAGUACGUGCUACUUCCCACCACGAGGAGACCGCCAGCCCAGCAUUACUGCCAGCAGGACAACGGCUGCAGUACCCAUAAACGGAGCCCACUUCUGCCGCUGCAUACCUGAGGCUGCCGAGCCUCCAGCAGCGCACCCUCCAUUCAGGGACCAGGACCCGUCUGACGACCAGCGCAAACCACAUAAAGCCUGGGGCAAAGGAAGCUACAAGCAGACUCGUAGGUGAUCAACAUUUACAAGCAGAUGUGUCCUCCUCCAGCCUCCUCUCUAUAACCUCCUUAGAAAACCAUGUGGGAAAGUUUCUCAGCCUCUGCCACCUCAUUGCCUCAUGUAACCUGAAAGCAGAAGAUUCUUCUACGCAAGCACCCAGGACGCCACAAAGGAGCGGAAACACUUCAAAGUGCAGCCACGUACUCCAUGAAUUAGUGAUGAGGAUUAGUCACUUUCAAGGGCUUUGAGUUCAAAGCCAAGCCGAAAACUUCCCAAAAGCUGCGGGGCAAAGGAUAACCCCUUUAAGUCAAGACCAAGUGCUGCACAAUGAAACCGGAAUCCAUCAGAGAUGUGGGAAAUGGUGCAGGGGUGUUGUUUCUUUUUGGACAACGCCUUAAAAUAAUAAAUAAAGGGGCAAGAUGGGAGUUGCCCCUUUGCAACUGUUCGAGAGUCACCAGAUGAAGAACACUUCAACAAUAUCUGCCUACUUUCUUUUGCUAACCCUACAGACAGCAGAAGAGAAGGGGAGUAACACGUGACUGCAGGAUCAGACCACACAGAGAUCGGUUGUAGUCUGUAACCAUGGAGAUACACAGGUCUGUAUAGGAGCUGUAUACAGAAAAUAACAGAUUAUAAAA